AUACGGAGGAUCCGAGCGUUAUCCGGAUUUAUUGGGUUUAAAGGGUGCGCAGGCGGCCAUUUAAGUCAGAGGUUAAAUCGUGGGGCUCAACCCCAUUCUGCCGUUGAUACUGGGUGGCUUGAUUGCGGUCGAGGUUGGCGGAAUUCGUUGUGUAGCGGUGAAAUGCAUAGAUAUGACGAAGAACACCGAUUGCGUAGGCAGCUGACCAGACCGCAAAUGACGCUCAUGCACGAAAGUGCGGGGAUCGAACAGGAUUAGAUACCCUGGUAGUCCGCACAGUAAACGAUGAAUACUUGUUUUCGGCGAUAUAAUGUCGGAGGCAAAGCGAAAGCGAUAAGUAUUCCACCUGGGGAGUACGCCGGCAACGGUGAAACUCAAAUGAAUUGGCGGGG
rnacentral:rRNA from 1 species